AUUACUGGGCGUAAAGCGUGCGUAGGCGGUUAUUUAAGUCAGAUGUGAAAGCCCCGGGCUUAACCUGGGAACUGCAUUUGAUACUGGGUAACUAGAGUUUAGUAGAGGAGAGUGGAAUUUCAGGUGUAGCGGUGAAAUGCGUAGAGAUCUGAAGGAACACCAGUGGCGAAGGCGACUCUCUGGACUAAAACUGACGCUGAGGUACGAAAGCGUGGGUAGCAAACAGGAUUAGAUACCCUGGUAGUCCACGCCGUAAACGAUGUCAACUAGCCGUUGGGCCUAUUUACAGGCUUAGUGGCGCAGCUAACGCAUUAAGUUGACCGCCUGGGGAGUACGGCCGCAAGGUUAAAACUCAAAUGAAUUGACGGGGGCCCGCACAAGCGGUGGAGCAUGUGGUUUAAUUCGAUGCAACGCGAAGAACCUUACCUACCCUUGACAUGCAUAGAAUC
rnacentral:rRNA from 1 species